UUCUAUGACUUUUUUGGCUUUUUUGGAGUCUUGUAUAAGACAUGACUCACUUAACCUGUUUGCAUGACAAUCAAGAGUCUUUUUGGGAACCUGAUUUUGGAUCUCUAAAGACAUCACUCAGUUGUAGGCCGCAUUGCUGGAUUUGUCUCUUUUAGUGCAAUACUUCAUUUUCCUUGUAAUGAUGUUGAGUUUAAACAUCCCCAUUUGUGGAAGCUGUUGCAAGUAAGGAACUCCAUCUUCAAGCUGGAAUGUAAAGAUGAAUUAGGUUGGCCAUGAUGCUUAUAUUAACCAGCAAAGCACUGAUUCUGGGGGCGAGAAUGACUUGGCUUCAAUUCUUUUAAGCAGAUGUUCUGUGAUCAUACUUUCAUGGAACUGUCUUUCAUGGAAGCUGUCCAAGGGUGCACCAAUAUUGGCAUUUCAAACAGAGGCUCUUUGCAAUACUUGUGGAAAGAUGGAAGGUAUGAAAUUGGCUGGGCUUGCAAUGGAAAAAACAAGGAACAAUGAAAGUGACACUUGGAGAUGAAGAAGGAACAAUCUAGUGGCCUUGUUGAAGGAGGCUUACCAAAUAUCCAACUGAUGUCUUUAAAUCAUUUGUGGCACUGAAAAAACUAAUGCCAUGCUAUUUGAAUUUAUAAUUGUAACUAUUUUUAAGUACAUUCCUUGAUUGCAGCAGGUUGUGGAACUAAUGAUCCAUUAUUACCUUGUUUAAAAUGUUUCUAUGCUCUUUGAAUUUGUAACUAUUAUUAAGUAAAUUCCUUGAUUGCAGCAGGUUGUGGAACUAA